AGUGAACGCUGGCGGUAGGCCUAACACAUGCAAGUCGAACGGCAGCACAGUAAGAGCUUGCUCUUACGGGUGGCGAGUGGCGGACGGGUGAGGAAUACAUCGGAAUCUACCUUUUCGUGGGGGAUAACGUAGGGAAACUUACGCUAAUACCGCAUACGACCUACGGGUGAAAGCAGGGGAUCUUCGGACCUUGCGCGAUUGAAUGAGCCGAUGUCGGAUUAGCUAGUUGGCGGGGUAAAGGCCCACCAAGGCGACGAUCCGUAGCUGGUCUGAGAGGAUGAUCGGCCACACUGGAACUGAGACACGGUCCAGACUCCUACGGGAGGCAGCAGUGGGGAAUAUUGGACAAUGGGCGCAAGCCUGAUCCAGCCAUACCGCGUGGGUGAAGAAGGCCUUCGGGUUGUAAAGCCCUUUUGUUGGGAAAGAAAAGCAGCAGGUUAAUACCCCGCUGUUCUGACGGUACCCAAAGAAUAAGCACCGGCUAACUUCGUG
rnacentral:rRNA from 1 species